rnacentral:pre_miRNA from 1 species
AUUGGUUCUUCUUGUAUUCCCAUUGAUAUAUGUGAUGGGGGUACAGGGGCAACCGAUGU